UGGGGAAUUUUGGACAAUGGGGGAAACCCUGAUCCAGCCAUCCCGCGUGUGCGAUGAAGGCCUUCGGGUUGUAAAGCACUUUUGGCAGGAAAGAAACGUCAUGGGUUAAUACCCCGUGAAACUGACGGUACCUGCAGAAUAAGCACCGGCUAACUACGUGCCAGCAGCCGCGGUAAUACGUAGGGUGCAAGCGUUAAUCGGAAUUACUGGGCGUAAAGCGUGCGCCGGCGGUUCGGAAAGAAAGAUGUGAAAUCCCAGAGCUCAACUUUGGAACUGCAUUUUUAACUACCGGGCUAGAGUGUGUCAGAGGGAGGUGGAAUUCCGCGUGGAGCAGUGAAAUGCGUAGAUAUGCGGAGGAACACCGAUGGCGAAGGCAGCCUCCUGGGAUAACACUGACGCUCAUGCACGAAAGCGUGGGGAGCAAACAGG
rnacentral:rRNA from 1 species